rnacentral:lncRNA from 1 species
GGCUGCUGGAGGCUGAGGAGACUCCUGGGUGAGACUUCGCCCUGAGGGUGGAAGGAAUCUGGUGAUCAGCUUGAGCCUGGAAGAAGCAUCAUCAGGUAGACCUACCAGCAAUGUGUUUAAUGACAUACAGACCGUUCUCCACCGGGAGGAUCAGCAAGAGCUGCAUCAGGAGGAUCCAGGGAGGGGCUGUAUUAGGCACGUCACGUAUUUUCCAGCUUAAUCCUCACCAUCAGCCUACUGUGUUGAGGAGCGCUGCCGUUUUUGAGUGGAGUCAGCUGUGAGCACCAGGAUCCUGAGACGGACGUCAGUGCUGAAGAGCAUCCCCUUCACGUGCGCUCUCUGCCACUGAGGUGGCACCUCCCUGCUUCCCGCUGUUUCCAAAACACUCACUGUUUCAGAAAAGACCCCGUCCCAGAAAUUAAAGGCACAGACCAAAGCAGCCUCAUCCACUGAGGACACCUGUCACUUCACCUCUUUGCCACCAGGACUCGUCCCCAUUUUCCGGAAACAGCCCUUGGACGGGAUCAUGGUUGGGGUUCUAAGUCACGCAGUCAUGCCCUCCCUCAGCGAAGAGGCCGACAUUGGAAAACCAAGCAGAGUCAGAUACCGUCUUUCUGGAGUCACAUCUUGAGCAGAGACAACAAGAUGAGAAGGAGUGGAAGCUUCUGUGGGGCCUUGGGGGGCUCAGAGAAGACCAGAGUCAUGGUUCCGGCUCCCUCGGUAUCCGGAGCUCCCCU